UACGGAGGGGGCUAGCGUUGUUCGGAAUUACUGGGCGUAAAGCGUGCGCAGGCGGCUUCUCAAGUCAGGGGUGAAAGCCCAGAGCUUAACUCUGGAAUUGCCUUUGAGACUGAGAGGCUUGAGUACGGGAGAGGUGAGUGGAAUUCCCAGUGUAGAGGUGAAAUUCGUAGAUAUUGGGAAGAACACCGGUGGCGAAGGCGGCUCACUGGCCCGUAACUGACGCUCAUGCACGACAGCGUGGGGAUCAAACAGG
rnacentral:rRNA from 1 species